GGCAGUAGCUCAGUUGGUAGAGCAUCAGCUUCCCAAGCUGAGGGUCACGGGUUCGAAUCCCGCUUGCC
rnacentral:tRNA from 2 species